rnacentral:rRNA from 1 species
UAUGUUGGCCGGGCGACGGUUGUCCCGGUUUAAGCGUGUAGGUGUGUGUUCCAGGUAAAUCCGGUUCACUUUAACACUGAGGCGUGACGACGAGGCACUACGGUGCUGAAGCAACAAAUGCCCUGCUUCCAGGAAAAGCCUCUAAGCAUCAGGUAACAUCAAAUCGUACCCCAAACCGACACAGGUGGUCAGGUAGAGAAUACCAAGGCGCUUGAGAGAACUCGGGUGAAGGAACUAGGCAAAAUGGUGCCGUAACUUCGGGAGAAGGCACGCUGACACGUAGGUGAAGUGAUUUACUCAUGGAGCUGAAGUCAGUCGAAGAUACCAGCUGGCUGCAACUGUUUAUUAAAAACACAGCACUGUGCAAACACGAAAGUGGACGUAUACGGUGUGACGCCUGCCCGGUGCCGGAAGGUUAAUUGAUGGGGUCAGCGCAAGCGAAGCUCCUGAUCGAAGCCCCGGUAAACGGCGGCCGUAACUAUAACGGUCCUAAGGUAGCGAAAUUCCUUGUCGGGUAAGUUCCGACCUGCACGAAUGGCGUAAUGAUGGCCAGGCUGUCUCCACCCGAGACUCAGUGAAAUUGAACUCGCUGUGAAGAUGCAGUGUACCCGCGGCAAGACGGAAAGACCCCGUGAACCUUUACUAUAGCUUGACACUGAACAUUGAGCCUUGAUGUGUAGGAUAGGUGGGAGGCUUUGAAGUGUGGACGCCAGUCUGCAUGGAGCCGACCUUGAAAUACCACCCUUUAAUGUUUGAUGUUCUAACGUGGACCCGUUACCCGGGUUGCGGACAGUGUCUGGUGGGUAGUUUGACUGGGGCGGUCUCCUCCUAAAGAGUAACGGAGGAGCACGAAGGUUGGCUAAUCCUGGUCGGACAUCAGGAGGUUAGUGCAAUGGCAUAAGCCAGCUUGACUGCGAGCGUGACGGCGCGAGCAGGUGCGAAAGCAGGUCAUAGUGAUCCGGUGGUUCUGAAUGGAAGGGCCAUCGCUCAACGGAUAAAAGGUACUCCGGGGAUAACAGGCUGAUACCGCCCAAGAGUUCAUAUCGACGGCGGUGUUUGGCACCUCGAUGUCGGCUCAUCACAUCCUGGGGCUGAAGUAGGUCCCAAGGGUAUGGCUGUUCGCCAUUUAAAGUGGUACGCGAGCUGGGUUUAGAACGUCGUGAGACAGUUCGGUCCCUAUCUGCCGUGGGCGCUGGAGAACUGAGGGGGGCUGCUCCUAGUACGAGAGGACCGGAGUGGACGCAUCACUGGUGUUCGGGUUGUCAUGCCAAUGGCACUGCCCGGUAGCUAAAUGCGGAAGAGAUAAGUGCUGAAAGCAUCUAAGCACGAAACUUGCCCCGAGAUGAGUUCUCCCUGAGACUUUAGGUCUCCUGAAGGAACGUUGAAGACGACGACGUUGAUAGGCCGGGUGUGUAAGCGCAGCGAUGCGUUGAGCUAACCGGUACUAAUGAACCGUGAGGCUUAACCUUACAACGCCGAAGAUGUUUUGGCGGAUGAGAGACGAUUUUCAGCACUGAUU